UGGGGAAUAUUGGACAAUGGGCGAAAGCCUGAUCCAGCCAUGCCGCGUGCAGGAAGAAGGCGUUAUGCGUUGUAAACUGCUUUUGCCAGGGGAUAAAAAGACCGUGCGCGGUUAAUUGAAGGUACCUGGUGAAUAAGCCACGGCUAACUACGUGCCAGCAGCCGCGGUAAUACGUAGGUGGCAAGCGUUGUCCGGAUUUAUUGGGUUUAAAGGGUGCGUAGGUGGCCCUGUAAGUCAGUGGUGAAAUAUCUCAGCUUAACUGAGAGGGUGCCAUUGAUACUGCAGGGCUUGAGUACAGAUGAGGUAGGCGGAAUUGACGGUGUAGCGGUGAAAUGCAUAGAUAUCGUCAAGAACACCGAUAGCGAAGGCAGCUUACCAAGCUGUAACUGACACUGAGGCACGAAAGUGUGGGGAUCAAACAGGAUUAGAUACCCCCGUAGUCCCUGAGCGGGCUGGCAAGGCGCAU
rnacentral:rRNA from 1 species